rnacentral:rRNA from 1 species
GUCUACGGCCAUGCCACCCUGAACGUGCCCGAUCUCGUCUGAUCUCGGAAGCUAAGCAGGGUCAGGCCUGGUUAGUAGUUGGACGGGAGACCAACUAGAAAUAAUAGGUGCUGUAGGUG